UUAUAACCUAAACAUUUAUUUAUUUAAAUCUUUUAAACGAUUUUUAUACGAGAAAUGGCAACAAUUACAUGCUAUAUGACAAUGAAAAUGCAAGAAAUAUUUAUAGUGAGAAGUUAAAAGAUAUGAAAAUGAAGUGAAGGAUAACGGCAUUGAAAAUUAAUGAAUCUUGUCAAUAGUCCGGCUGGUGUUGACAGAAGAUCAAGAAGAGGAACAAUAAUUAUUAAUAAAUUGUAAACAUCAAAAAAUUCCAAAACUAUUGAGGUGUUGAAAUCCAGUAAAUUUUCUUGUAAAGCUUGGAGCAUUGCAAAUGUUUGGUGUUAAUGUAUGAGAGUACUUCACAUUUAAACAAUAUUGAUGAAGUUGUCUGCUUAUUUGGGGCCAAACAAGAAGGAGAGAAAUUUUCUUGGAAAAGAAUCGAAAGCAAUAAAGAUAAUGCUGCGAUUGGCAUUUUGGACAUUUGUGCUGUGUAUGUGGAUGUAUUGGCAAGCCUGCGCUGGAAAUUCGGCACAAAUCGGCUGUGUUUACAUCCGGUUUAGAGCAUUCAAAACGGUGCCGCCAAUUGAGACUGCCGUCGCCUGUGAAGUUUGCGCUGUACCGGUAAUUAGAUUUUUAAGUGCUAAAGGUGUGAAAGCCAUUUAAAUUCAUUGACAGAUUAGUGAAGUGUAUGGGGAGAAAAUUAUGAGUGGCGGAAUGGUACCUACGCAGGUGGGUAAGGGCAUUUAAAGAUGGCCGCACCAACGUUCAUGAGGAGCAACGCACAGGGUGGCCAUCUAUCAAAUUGUCAUGGUGAUUUCCAGGAUGUGAAUCCGUUAUCUUCGGAACCGGAGACUUACGCUGUACAACUACACCAGUCUAAAUAUGUGGAAAGAUCAAGUUAUUUGUUUAUAGUUUAUUGCCCCCACACAACUGGUAACAAUAAAGUAGUUUCACAUCUUUUUGUGGUAAAAAAAUGUUAAUACCAGCACAGAAUUAAAUUAGUUAUUUUUCCCCAACACCCAUUAAACCUUAGAUACAUCG